rnacentral:lncRNA from 1 species
AAGCACAAAUUUUCUUUCUUUUUUUUUAGUAACGAACUAAUACAUAAAUAAGCUUGGCACAAAGCACACAUGCUUGACAGAAUAAUCGGUUCUCUCCACACAAACCAACAACAACAACUUAAGUGUAUUUCCACAGAGUGGGGUCUGAGGAGGGUAAAACGUGCGCAGUUCAUACCGCUACCUUCAAAAAGAUAGAGAAACUAUUUCCGAUAGAUCCUCGACUCAAGAUAAAUAAUAAUAAACAAGGUCGUAAUGAAACAAGAAGUCUCUCCACACAAGCCAUCUUUGCAAAAUACCACAAGUACAUCAAAAACACUUAAUGAUAAUAAGUAAAGACAAAUUCUAACAAUAUAGUACGAGAUAUGUGUACAGAAAAAGCAAUCACAUCCACAUUACUCCUCAAACUUGUAAGCUUCAUCAUUAGCAUCAAUCAUUUUUCGAACAAACACUUGGGUAAAGACGGACCAAUGAUAGCAGUGGCGGAUCCAAAAAUUAUACUAUUUUUACGAACUAUUCUAGAUCCACCGCUGAAUGAUAGCACCAACCAAAGCGCCACACAGAGUACCAGUGCCAAGAAUGAGAUUUUUUAGUUUUGCAACAUAAUUCUGUCGCUCCUCUCCUCUCACUCCUUCUCCUGUCGCUCCUUCCGCUGCUUUUGGCCCU